AUAAUUCGGACCGCAAGGAAUACCAGGUAGUCAUUACCUGUUCAACUCUGUUUUUUUAGUGGCUAAGUUCUGGCAUCGUUUUUAGAUAUAAAAGCAGCUCUCGGUCAACCAAUAGACGCACAACAGCUCUCGACUUCAUGAGAGCAACAUCUCAGUACAAAUUUUCGAGUCGAAUUCUCGCGUCGAACGGGCAAGUUCCGGAACAAACAAACUGCAUUACAGUAGAACGUUUUAUGUAAGUUGUGAAUAUUGAAAUAUAUCGAUAUGAGAAAAAUUGAUUUACUUUCUUACACCUCGUUUAGGAAAUCAGUGAUUCAUUGAUCUCCAUUUCACGUUAAACUAAACGUGAUGAAUCAACAACAACAAAGAAAGAGUGUCACACAUUCAAGCAGGACGUCAUUUUUUGUUGAAACCUUUAUUUAUUUGAUUUCAAUGUCAUCCGAAGUCAUACAAAGUACUAUUUAAAAGAAAAUGAAGAUAUUGCUCAUAAACGUCUAUGUAACGAUACAUUGCUAACGGGAAACACAGACUCUUGGAACCUUUUUAUCUCGUCUUUACUAUAGCCCCAACUCCUGAAAACUACCGCUAGAAUACGGCGCCCUGCCGAAGAGACAUUCGUACAUGAUUACGCCGACGCUCCACAAAUCGACGCGAGC